ACAAGUUUCUCUUAGAGCCCCCUACAGGUUUCUCUAUUAGAGCCCCCUACAGGUUUCUCUAUAGACCCCCCCCUACAGGUUUCUCUAUAGAGCCCCGCC